CAGCCGCCGCGGGAAUACGAAGGGGGCUAGCGUUGUUCGGAAUUACUGGGCGUAAAGCGCACGUAGGCGGAUAUUUAAGUCAGGGGUGAAAUCCCGCAGCUCAACUGCGGAACUGCCUUUGAUACUGGGUAUCUUGAGUAUGGAAGAGGUUAGUGGAAUUGCGAGUGUAGAGGUGAAAUUCGUAGAUAUUCGCAGGAACACCAGUGGCGAAGGCGGCUAACUGGUCCAUAACUGACGCUGAGGUGCGAAAGCGUGGGGAGCAAACAGGAUUAGAUACCCCCGUAGUCCCUGUCUCUAUACA
rnacentral:rRNA from 1 species